CCCACGCCGAAAGACCAAGGUUUCCUGCGCAACGUUAAUCGACGCAGGGUUAGUCGGUCCCUAAGGCGAGGCUGAAAAGCGUAGUCGAUGGAAAACAGGUUAAUAUUCCUGUACUUCUGGUUAUUGCGAUGGAGGGACGGAGAAGGCUAGGCCAGCUUGGCGUUGGUUGUCCAAGUUUAAGGUGGUAGGCUGGAAUCUUAGGUAAAUCCGGGAUUCUAAGGCCGAGAGCUGAUGACGAGUGUUCUUUUAGAACACGAAGUGGUUGAUGCCAUGCUUCCAAGAAAAGCUUCUAAGCUUCAGGUAACCAGGAACCGUACCCCAAACCGACACAGGUGGUUGGGUAGAGAAUACCAAGGCGCUUGAGAGAACUCGGGUGAAGGAACUAGGCAAAAUGGCACCGUAACUUCGGGAGAAGGUGCGCCGGUGAGGGUGAAGCAUUUACUGCGUAAGCCCACGCCGGUCGAAGAUACCAGGCCGCUGCGACUGUUUAUUAAAAACACAGCACUCUGCAAACACGAAAGUGGACGUAUAGGGUGUGACGCCUGCCCGGUGCCGGAAGGUUAAUUGAUGGGGUUAGCUAACGCGAAGCUCUUGAUCGAAGCCCCGGUAAACGGCGGCCGUAACUAUAACGGUCCUAAGGUAGCGAAAUUCCUUGUCGGGUAAGUUCCGACCUGCACGAAUGGCGUAACGAUGGCGGCGCUGUCUCCACCCGAGACUCAGUGAAAUUGAAAUCGCUGUGAAGAUGCAGUGUAUCCGCGGCUAGACGGAAAGACCCCGUGAACCUUUACUAUAGCUUUGCACUGGACUUUGAAUUUGCUUGUGUAGGAUAGGUGGGAGGCUUUGAAGCGUGGACGCCAGUUCGCGUGGAGCCAUCCUUGAAAUACCACCCUGGCAACUUUGAGGUUCUAACUCAGGUCCGUUAUCCGGAUCGAGGACAGUGUAUGGUGGGUAGUUUGACUGGGGCGGUCUCCUCCUAAAGAGUAACGGAGGAGUACGAAGGUGCGCUCAGACCGGUCGGAAAUCGGUCGUAGAGUAUAAAGGCAAAAGCGCGCUUGACUGCGAGACAGACACGUCGAGCAGGUACGAAAGUAGGUCUUAGUGAUCCGGUGGUUCUGUAUGGAAGGGCCAUCGCUCAACGGAUAAAAGGUACUCCGGGGAUAACAGGCUGAUACCGCCCAAGAGUUCAUAUCGACGGCGGUGUUUGGCACCUCGAUGUCGGCUCAUCACAUCCUGGGGCUGAAGCCGGUCCCAAGGGUAUGGCUGUUCGCCAUUUAAAGUGGUACGCGAGCUGGGUUUAGAACGUCGUGAGACAGUUCGGUCCCUAUCUGCCGUGGACGUUUGAGAUUUGAGAGGGGCUGCUCCUAGUACGAGAGGACCGGAGUGGACGAACCUCUGGUGUUCCGGUUGUCACGCCAGUGGCAUUGCCGGGUAGCUAUGUUCGGAAUAGAUAACCGCUGAAAGCAUCUAAGCGGGAAACUAGCCUCAAGAUGAGAUCUCACUGGGACCUUGAGUCCCCUGAAGGGCCGUCGAAGACUACGACGUUGAUAGGUUGGGUGUGUAAGCGCUGUGAGGCGUUGAGCUAACCAAUACUAAUUGCCCGUGAGGCUUGACCAU
rnacentral:rRNA from 1 species